ensembl:lincRNA
UAUGCAAGAGUUUGAGGAAUUCACUACUCACACUUUCUUGAACAGUCUAUCCAAGUGCAUCAAGCAAAAUGUGAGUAAAGAAAUUUUGACCAAAGGAUUGAUAGUAAUGUUGAAUACGUUUAAUAGUAGAUCUAAGAUUAAAAGGUGAGAGUGAGGGUGAGAAGAGUGUAUGAAUGCUUUGUGUUCUGACAAAGAGAAUGUAGCACCCAUGUCCUACCUGCUCGGUUGCGUUGCCAUUGCCCACGGUAGGCUAUUUUAUCCCGGUUUUUAUGUUUUUUUGUUUUGUUUUGUUUUUUUCUUUUCAGGAGAGUUAGUCCAAGACCAAUAACUCCAUAACUGGUAGAAUUGGAAGACUUUAAUAGUGCUUAACAUUUUGUACAUAGCUUUAUAACAGUUUUCUUUUCUUUUUUUCUGAGAGAUUCUUUUCAAUAUACCCCAUCAUGGUUGAACUCAAAGUCAUUGCUUAUUUAAAAUCUACAACUGCUGACGUUUUGUAUCCUUCACAUUCCAGGCCUGUAAAUUACUCUCUGAUGACUCUGAACAAGUGCGCAGUGCUGCAGUCUAGUUUAUCUGGGUUGUCAGUCAGCUCUAUCCUGAAAGGUCAGUGUGGGUGAAAAAGAGGUGUUUUUUCCUCUUCAUUAAACUGCCAAAAUUUGAAAACCAGAAUGGAUUAAUAAACCUGUAGGAGUAGGCUCCAUUUGUAGUAGACUCCUUUUUAGGACUUAGACACAUACAAAGAAAAGGGCUAACUGGAAAUUGUCUCUUCUUUUAGGACUGGAUUGAUAAGUAAGUUUUAUAUUGAUUUAUUCUGAGAUUUAAUGUAUUUAUAGAAGUUCAGUCUGGACACGGUGGUGCCUGUAAUCCCAGCACUUUUGGAGGCCGAGGUGGGUGGAUCACCUCGGGUCAGGAGUUCAAGACCAGCCUGGCCAACAUGGUGAAACCUCAUCUCUACUGAAAAUACAAAAAUUAGCCGGGCAUGGUGGCACACGCCUGUAAUCCCAGCUACUAGGGAGGCUAAGGCAGGAGAAUCGCUUGAACCCGGGAAGUGGAGAUUGCAGUGAGCUGAGAUCGCACCACUGCACUCCAGCCUGGGUCACAGAGCAAGACACUUUCUCUACAAAAAAAAAAAAAAAGAAGAAGAAUUUCAGUUACAGAAGAUAAUAAACUUAAGGAUAUGAAAUAUUUGGUGGAAGCUAGUUUUGAUAAUUUCAUAAAUCUUUGAACCUUUGGUGGGUUACGUACUUUUUUUUUAAGGCAGGGUCUUGCUCUGUGGCCCAGGCUGCAGUGCAGUGAUGUGAUCUCGGCUUACUGCAACCUCCAACUCCUGGGUUGAAGCAAUUCUCAUGCCUGAGCCUCCCAAAUAGCCGGAAUUACAGUUGCGCCCCACCACACCCAGCUCAUUUUUUGUAUUUUUAGUAGAGAUGAGGUUUUGCCAUGUUGGGUAGGCUAGUCUUGAACCCCUGGCUUCAGGUAAUCUGCCCACCUCAGUAUCUCAGUGUGCUGGGAUUACACGCCUGGCUGAACCUUUGGUGGGUUACACACUUUUAUUCAAUACAUUGAAAAUUUGCACCUGAUUGCAGUGGCUCAGCCCUGUAAUCCUAGCACUUUGGGAGGCUGAGGCGGGCGGAUUGCUUGAUCUCAGGAGUUUGAGAUCAACCUGGGCAACAUGGUGAACCAUCUCUACUAAAAAUAUAAAAAAUUAGCUGGGUGUGGUGGCAUGCUUUUGUAGUCCCAGCUACUCAGAAGAGUGAACUGGGAGGAUCACC